rnacentral:rRNA from 1 species
AACCUACCUUUUAGUACGGGACAACGUUUGGAAACGAACGCUAAUACCGUAUACGCCCUCCGGGGGAAAGGCCAGCCGCUGAAAGAGGGGCCCGCGUCUGAUUAGCUUGUUGGUAAGGUAAUGGCUUACCAAGGCAACGAUCAGUAGCUGGUCUGAGAGGAUGAUCAGCCACACUGGGACUGAGACACGGCCCAGACUCCUACGGGAGGCAGCAGUGGGGAAUAUUGGACAAUGGAGGCAACUCUGAUCCAGCAAUGCCGCGUGUGUGAUGAAGGCCCUAGGGUUGUAAAGCACUUUCAACGGUGAAGAUGAUGACGGUAGCCGUAGAAGAAGCCCCGGCUAACUUCGUGCCAGCAGCCGCGGUAAUACGAAGGGGGCGAGCGU